UACCAGCUCUCCGAGUGGUAGGGAUGGUUUAUUAGGGCCGUUAAAGCGUCCCGUAGCCGGCUUAGCAAGUCUCCUGUUAAAUUCAGCGACCUAAUCGUUGAGCCGCGGGAGAUACUACUAGGCUAGGAGGCGGGAGAGGUCAACGGUACUUCCGGGGUAGGGGUGAAAUCCUAUAAUCCCGGGAGGACCACCAGUGGCGAAGGCUGUUGACUAGAACGCGCGUCGACGGUGAGGGACGAAAGCUGGGGGAGCGAACCGGAUUAGGUACCCGGGUAGUCCCAGGCUGUAAACGAUGCGAGCUAGGUGUUGGGGUGGCUACGUGCCACUUCAGUGCCGCAGGGAAGCCAUUAAGCUCGCCGCCUGGGGAGUACGGCCGCAAGGCUGAAACUUAAAGGAAUUGGCGGGGGAGCACCACAAGGCGUGAAGCUUGCGGUUC
rnacentral:rRNA from 1 species